ACGGAAAUCAAUUGGAAAUAGACGAGGGGACAACUUCUAUUCACUUUGGGAACCUGCAUCUGCAUUAUGUCUAACUAUUUCUUCUAUGCAUUCUUCAAAAACUUAUACAAUCAUUUGCAAAGCACGCCAAAUUAUGUAUAUAUUCUGCCUUUCACCGGCUAUCCGAUGUUUCUACACAAAGGAAUGGCCUCUCCGUAUUACGCAAUGGACAUGUUUUUCGGUGCUUGCUCGCUAUUUGUCGCCGGCAUGAGUUCCAUUAGCUUCCAGGGUUCCUUCAUGGUGCUUUGUAAGCAUUGCUGUGGAUUGGUCCAAGUAUUAUGUCUACUGUUGGAGAGAUCCACGUCAACUCUGGUUCCAAAACCGCAACGUGUGGAAUAUUUACGCUACUGUAUAGUGCAACAUCAACGCACUCUUGAGUUUAUCGACGAGGUCAAUCAGCUUUUCAGACACAUUUGUCUUUCCCAGUUUCUUCAUAGUCUGGCAAUUUACGGCUUUGUACUCUUCGAGAUGAACUUCGGCUUGGAAUCAAAUAAAAUUACUUUUAUUCGCAUGUUAAUGUAUUUGUGCGCCGCUACAACAGGUGAUUGCAUGCACUACGUCAACGGACAGUUCCUGGCCAACGAGCUGGAAAAGGUUCCGUUAGCUUGUUAUAACUGUGAGUGGUACCACGAAACAGAUGCCUUUAAGAAGACAUUGAGAAUGAUCAUUAUGCGCUCAAAUAAAAAAUUCUGUUUCCAAAUAUCCUGGUUCACAGUAAUGUCCUUGGCUACAUUGAUGGGUGUAAGUAGAUACAAAAUGUACCUUGCAUUUUCACUAUUCAAAAUAUACUGAUAAGUCAUUUCAUGGAAAACUGUAUAUAAAAACGCGUAUACCAGCAAAAGUAGAUCGAUGUGAUUAAAUAUUUAAAUGAUAAUAUUCGGCUCAAGUUGAGAAUUUAGCAACUGCAACAAGAACUUAUUCGACAUUUCCUUAUACAAGCAGCAUAAACCACAGGAGCUAUAGGUCCGCGAAUACAUUUAGUCUCUUCUAGCAUGCCAAGAUCCUCAACUGGUCGAUCUGAUCAUAGUGUAGAAGAAAUUAAAAUAAACUUGCGAAAUUUCUAGCUAAUAGUAAAGCCAAGCAAAAACAUCCUCUGAAAGAUAUGAAAGAUUUAUGUAUCGCUUCCUUAAAACUACUUAAAUGUCA